UACGGGGGGGGGCAAGCGUUGUUCGGAAUUACUGGGCGUAAAGGGCGCGUAGGCGGCCUGCUAAGUCACACGUGAAAUCCCUCGGCUCAACCGGGGGAACUGCGUGUGAUACUGGCGGGCUCGAAUUCGGGAGAGGGAUGUGGAAUUCCAGGUGUAGCGGUGAAAUGCGUAGAUAAUCUGGAGGAACACCGGUGGCGAAGGCGGCAUCCUGGACCGAGGAUUGACGCUGAUGCGCGAAAGCUAGGGUAGCAAACGGGG
rnacentral:rRNA from 1 species